rnacentral:rRNA from 1 species
GAUGAACGCUGGCGGCGUGCCUAAUACAUGCAAGUCGAGCGAACAGACGAGGAGCUUGCUCCUCUGCCGUUAGCGGCGGACGGGUGAGUAACACGUGGAUAACCUACCUCUAAGACUGGGAUAACUUCGGGAAACCGGAGCUAAUACCGGAUAAUAUAUUGAACCGCAUGGUUCAAUAGUGAAAGACGGUUUUGCUGUCACUUAUAGAUGGAUCCGCGCCGCAUUAGCUAGUUGGUAAGGUAACGGCUUACCAAGGCAACGAUGCGUAGCCGACCUGAGAGGGUGAUCGGCCACACUGGAACUGAGACACGGUCCAGACUCCUACGGGAGGCAGCAGUAGGGAAUCUUCCGCAAUGGGCGAAAGCCUGACGGAGCAACGCCGCGUGAGUGAUGAAGGUCUUCGGAUCGUAAAGCUCUGUUAUUAGGGAAGAACAAAUGUGUAAGUAACUAUGCACGUCUUGACGGUACCUAAUCAGAAAGCCACGGCUAACUACGUG